rnacentral:rRNA from 1 species
UACGUAGGGGGCUAGCGUUGUCCGGAAUCAUUGGGCGUAAAGCGCGCGUAGGCGGCCGGUAAGUCCGCUCUGAAAGUCCAGGGCUCAACCCUGGAAUGCGGGUGGAUACUGCCGGGCUAGAGUCCGGAAGAGGCGAGUGGAAUUCCUGGUGGUAGCGGUGGAAUGCGCAGAUAUCAGGAGGAACACCAAUAGCGAAAGGCAGCUCGCUGGGACGGUACUGG